rnacentral:rRNA from 1 species
ACUCAAAGGAAUUGACGGGGGCCCGCACAAGCGGUGGAGCAUGUGGAUUAAUUCGACGCAACGCGAAGAACCUUACCAAGGCUUGACAUGGAGAUGACCGGAGCAGAAAUGUUCCUUCCCUUCGGGGCAUCUCACACAGGUGGUGCAUGGUUGUCGUCAGCUCGUGUCGUGAGAUGUUGGGUUAAGUCCCGCAACGAGCGCAACCCCUGUCUUCAGUUGCCAGCACAUAAUGGUGGGAACACUGGAGAGACUGCCGUGGACAACACGGAGGAAGGUGGGGAUGAUGUCAAAUCAUCAUGCCCCUUACGUCUUGGGCUUCACACGUGCUACAAUGGUUUUAACAAAGUGAUGCAAGACAGUGAUGUGGAGCGAACCACAAAAUAAGACCCCAGUUCGGAUUGUAGGCUGCAACUCGCCUGCAUGAAGUUGGAAUCGCUAGUAAUCGCGAAUCAGAAUGUCGCGGUGAAUACGUUCCCGGGCCUUGUACACACCGCCCGU